AUAUAUAUAUAUAUAUAUAUAUAUAUAUAUAUAUAUAUAUAUAUAUAUAUGAAAAUACAAUUUCAGACAUUUAUUUAACCAUAAAAAUCGCAUGAGUUACCUUCUACCAUUUAUCUUAUAUGUUAAAAAUCCUCUGUAAUUUUAGCUUGAUGUUUUUCAAACCAAUAGCUGGAAGUUACUGCUAAUUUUGUUGCUGGGUUUUUAGGUUUGGGUUUUGUUGUUGAGUGUUUUAUGUCUCAGAUGGGAUACAAAGAUGUGUUGUGACAUCUUACUUUGUUCUGAUGUAAUCUCAUUUGAAAUUUGACAUUAAAAAAAGAAGGAAGAAAUAACAAGACAACGAACCUAUUUCCUGCAAACUCUGUUUCCUGUUUAAAUUUUUUCUUAUAAUGGUGAUGUUAAGACCAGACGCUGUAGUCAUGGCUCUCCUCCUGUGCUUUUCAUUUCACAAUGUCAGGAAACAGAAUCAAUUGAGCACAUACUGACACUGCUUAUCCCUGUGAGCAAAUUAUCACUGAGCUGCAGAUUAUGACCUCUGACCUCACUGUGAGGCCUACAUGGAGUGGGAAUAAAGCUAUAUUACAGCUUCUGAUUACAAUACAUACUAUGUCAGCUUUUACUCCCCAGCUUUAGUUUGUUGUGAUGCUGCUGGAGCCAUUGUGAUUGUUUAAAAUGUUAUAUUUUAUUAAUUAUUUUUCAUUAACUUUUUUUUUUUUUUUUUUUUUUUU